rnacentral:rRNA from 1 species
CCUACGGGUGACAGCAGUGGGGAAUAUUGCACAAUGGGGGAAACCCUGAUGCAGCGACGCCGCGUGAGUGAAGAAGUAAUUCGGUAUGUAAAGCUCUAUCAGCAGGGAAGAAAAUGACGGUACCUGAGUAAGAAGCCCCGGCUAACGACGUGCCAGCAGCCGCGGUAAUACGUCGGGGGCAAGCGUUAUCCGGAUUUACUGGGUGUAAAGGGAGCGUAGACGGCAGUGCAAGUCUGGAGUGAAAGGCGGGGGCUCAACCCCCGGACUGCUCUGGAAACUGUACGGCUGGAGUGCAGGAGAGGUAAGUGGAAUUCCUAGUGUAGCGGUGAAAUGCGUAGAUAUUAGGAGGAACACCAGUGGCGAAGGCGGCUUACUGGACUGUAACUGACGUUGAGGCUCGAAAGCGUGGGGAGCAAACAGGAUUAGAUACCCGGGUAGUC